AAGGAGGAUUUGCUCUAUAGACUAGACCAGACCUGUUGCAUUUGUAUGACUGACUUUUCUGGGAAGAGCGGCAAGCGGAGCAAACACACGACGGGCGCGAAAGAAAACAAAAGAGAAUCCGCUUUCCAGUAAAGUGUCUCAUACACUUUGCAGAGCAUAAUCCGAUGUGGAGAGCACUCGACAGUAUGGAGAGGGAUGUAGAUAAAUAUCUGGAAAGCCCAAGGCUGC
rnacentral:lncRNA from 1 species